rnacentral:rRNA from 1 species
GACGAACGCUGGCGGCGUGCUUAACACAUGCAAGUCGAACGACGUGGCGAACGGGGGAGUAAUAUGUAGGUAACCUGCCCUCCUUUUUGGGAUAAGCCUUGGAAACGGGGUGUAAUAACCAAUAUAGGGGGAUGGGCUCGGGGCGUAUCAGCUAGUUGGUGGCGUGAUUGACUAACAAGGCGGUGCCGGGUAGCCGGCCUGGGAGGGUGAACGGGGACAUAGGGACGGAGCUACGGCCCAGACGCCGAAGGGGGGCAGCAGUGUGGGAUAUGGCACAAUGGGCGAAAGCCCGAUGCAGCGAGGCCGCGUAGGGGCUGAAGGUUUUAGGGUUGUAUACCUCGUUAGCAAUCGAACGGGUAGCUGGAGAAGAAGCGCCGGCUAACUACGUGCCAGCAGCCGCGGUAAUAC